rfam:Triticum urartu cultivar G1812 contig980730, whole genome shotgun sequence.
UUUCUACUCCCUCCGUCCCAAAAUAAGUGCCUCAACUUUGUACAAGCUAGUACAAAGUUGAGACACUUAUUUUGGGACGGAGGGAGUAUAUU